CUUCCCUGGCAGUGGGUAGAGACACCUUCUUGUUGGUGUUGUUCUUAUAUCAGUCAGGGGGUCAGGGACAGAGCAGAUGGCAGUUCUUUGUUCAUCCUAGCCUGAUGUAUGGCUUGAUAGCCAAAGCUGUCUUAUGCCUAGGACUCAUAA